GAUGAAGAACGCAGCGAAAUGCGAUAAGUAAUGUGAAUUACAGAAUUCAGUGAAUCAUCGAAUCUUUGAACGCACCUUGCGCCCCUUGGUUAUUCCAAAGGGCAUGCCUGUUUGAGUAUCAUGAUCACCUCAACUCUUGUGGUUUCCCACAAUGAGCUUGGACUGUGGAGGUUUUGUUGGCCCUGUGGUCAGCUCCUCUCAAAUGGAUCAGCUUACCGGUGUUUGGUGGCAUUACGGGUGUGAUAACUAUCUACGCUCGUGGUCGUCUCCAAAUAACCUCCAGUGAUGGAGGUUCGCUGGAGCUUAUAAAUGUCUCUCCCCAGUGAAGACAGCCUUUGAACGUUCGAUCUCAAAUCAGGUAGGACUACCCGCUGAACUUAAGCAUAUCAAUAAGCGGAGGA
rnacentral:misc_RNA from 1 species